rnacentral:lncRNA from 1 species
CCCGGCCUUUUGGCGUUCACACGCACAGCACGUUUCUAUGGGCCGAAGCCGGCACAGCCGCGCUCCCUCUGGCCACAGCCCAGCGGCUAGUCAGCACUUUCGGCCCAAGAGGCCCGCUGUAGCUAGGGUUUCCUUCUGAGUCCAUCCUGGCCGUCCAUCAGAUCGGACGGCCGGUCGUGCACCUAGCUGGGUCAAAACCAAACGGCCGAGGCUGGGGCUGGGAGACCCUCGGUUGUUCCUCCCCCCCGCGUGUCGCCCUCGUUCUUGUUUCUCUGUGCAGCGGCGGCCGAUCCGCCCCGCCAAAGAGCUCUAGGACUGGCCGCCGACAACAGUGACCAAAAGCCACCGCGCCGUGCGCGCCACCCUCUGUUCCUACAUCCCAUUUCUUCCUUCUCUUUCUCCACN